rnacentral:rRNA from 1 species
UACGAAGGGGGCUAGCGUUGCUCGGAAUCACUGGGCGUAAAGGGUGCGUAGGCGGGUUUUUAAGUCAGGGGUGAAAUCCUGGAGCUCAACUCCAGAACUGCCUUUGAUACUGAGGAUCUUGAGUUUCGGGAGAGGUGAGUGGAACUGCGAGUGUAGAGGUGAAAUUCGUAGAUAUUCGCAAGAACACCAGUGGCGAAGGCGGCUCACUGGCCCGAUACUGACGCUGAGGCACGAAAAGCGUGGGGAGCAAACAGG